rnacentral:rRNA from 1 species
GUCCUAGCCGUAAACGAUGCCCACUUGGUGUUGCAGCCCUCUUGGGGGGUUGCAGUGCCGAAGCGUAGGUGUUAAGUGGGCCACCUGGGGAGUAUACUCGCAAGGGUGAAACUUAAGGGAAUUGGCGGGGGAGCACACAAGGGGUGGGCGUUGCGGUUCAAUUGGAUUCAACGCCGGAAAUCUUACCGGAGACGACAGCAGGAUGAAGGUCAGUCUGAAGGGCUUACCACACAAGCUGAGAGGUAGUGCAUGGCCAUCGU